AACUUUUUCAGGAGAUUGUUCACCCUCAGAUCUGGAAACAGCUUUGCAGGAGAAUGGGAUACUUUUAUCGAUAGCUACUAUGCUGAUCCACUUUGUUUAAUGUUUGGUGGGGCUUGAAUAGCCUAUGGGGAACCUAGGCUGAUGAAGGAGAGGACAAUCAUGCCAUAUUGUGUUGGAUGUAUCAGUAAUAAAUAUCACCUAGAUUGUCAUAUUUGCCUUAAAUAGCUCCUUCAGAUUUGAGGAUUCAGAAGAUAUGAGAAAAUAUUUUGUUUCUCUAUCUUACACUCACAAGCUAGAAAUGCCAUCAUGCUCUCCUAUCAUUGACAGUAUCCUAUUCUCGUUCACUAACCUUACAUAUGCAAUGCUUGUCUUUAAGUUUUGGCAAACAUUGGCCUCUAUGUUCUGAUUAUCAUCUUAAGGGUGUUUUAACCUAUAUACUAUUCCU
rnacentral:misc_RNA from 1 species